rnacentral:rRNA from 1 species
GUAGUAGUGGGUGUAGCGUACCUACUAGCCUACGACGGGUACGGGUUGUGAGAGCAAGAGCCCGGAGAUGGAUUCUGAGACACGAAUCCAGGCCCUACGGGGUGCAGCAGGCGCGAAAACUUUACAAUGCUGGCAACAGCGAUAAGGGAACCUCGAGUGCCAGGUUACAAAUCUGGCUGUCGAGAUGCCUAAAAAGCAUUUCAUAGCAAGGGCCGGGCAAGACCGGUGCCAGCCGCCGCGGUAACACUGGCGGCUCGAGUGGUAACCGUUAUUAUUGGGUCUAAAGGGUCUGUAGCCGGCCGGAUAAGUCUCUUGAGAAAUCUGGCAGCUUAACUGUCAGGCUUUCAGGAGAUACUGUCUGGCUCGAGGCCGGGAGAGGUGAGAGGUACUUCAGGGGUAGGGGUGAAAUCUUGUAAUCCUUGAAGGACCACCAGUGGCGAAGGCGUCUCACCAGAACGGACCUGACGGCAAGGGACGAAAGCUAGGGGCACGAACCGGAUUAGAUACCCGGGUAGUCCUAGCCGUAAACGAUACUCGCUAGGUGUCGGCCACGGUGCGACCGUUGUCGGUGCCGUAGGGAAGCCGUGAAGCGAGC